rnacentral:ncRNA from 2 species
AUCCAUCUUCGGGGCAGGGUGAAAUUCCCGACCGGCGGUAAUUGAAGAUUCCCUCUUCAUCAGCCCGUGAGCGCAAUCGUUGCUAAAACGAACGUGCUGAUCUGGUGUAACUCCAGAGCCGACAGUAUAGUCUGGAUGGGAGAAGAUGACG